AGGGGGCUGUUUUCCAGGACCAAACCAACAAAAGAUGAGGGCAUAGCCACCUGCCAAGAAAAUGGAAAGAAACUUUGAUUUAACUGCCGAGAGAUUGCCGCAAAUUUGAAAAACAACCAUCGCAUACAAUCGUAAACGGGGCAUAUGAAGUUAUUACUUCACCAGCUUUGUUCUUGUACUGCACCCCUUUGAUAGUCCCAUCUUGUUCAAUCAGGGAUGUUACUGUUCCUUGUUCCAAUCUUACACUGAACCAAAAAUGAAGAAAAUGAUGCAAAUUAGUUAUAGAAAGAGUGAAGUAGAAUCAAGUAGCCAUGCAGUCACCUGAGCAAGAGUGAAAUGAAAAUCUUUUGAAGGGAAAAGGAAAGAGUACCUGGAAAUGGAAGCAGCUUUUGCUCUCAGGCUCUGAAUGAAACGCCCAUAAUGAAAGCCUCUCCCAGCCACAUCAGGAUGAAAAUGCUCCAAGGGAUACGACAGUUGAGUGUGUUUCCCAUCUUUGUAAAGUGCAUAUCCAAACACUUUCUGGGCAUCUAUCCCUUUGACACAAUCUGCAGACAGUAGUACAAAGUAAAGAGUUAGAAACUCAUUUUCUGGGAC